AGCGAACGCUGGCGGCAGGCCUAACACAUGCAAGUCGAACGGUAACGGGUCCUUCGGGAUGCCGACGAGUGGCGAACGGGUGAGUAAUAUAUCGGAACGUGCCCAGUAGUGGGGGAUAACUGCUCGAAAGAGCAGCUAAUACCGCAUACGACCUGAGGGUGAAAGGGGGGGAUCGCAAGACCUCUCGCUAUUGGAGCGGCCGAUAUCAGAUUAGCUAGUUGGUGGGGUAAAGGCCUACCAAGGCAACGAUCUGUAGUUGGUCUGAGAGGACGACCAGCCACACUGGGACUGAGACACGGCCCAGACUCCUACGGGAGGCAGCAGUGGGGAAUUUUGGACAAUGGGCGCAAGCCUGAUUCAGCAAUGCCGCGUGCAGGAAGAAGGCCUUCGGGUUGUAAACUGCUUUUGUCAGGGAAGAAAUCUUCUGGGCUAAUACCCCGGGAGGAUGACGGUACCUGAAGAAUAAGCACCGGCUAACUACGUGCCAGCAGCCGCGGUAA
rnacentral:rRNA from 1 species